rnacentral:lncRNA from 1 species
GACCUUUCUCAUCCCACUACUCUCUGUGUUGUUAAAUGCAUAAGAGAUCAAACCCAAACGAUUAAGAGAUUGUGAGAAACGGCCUAACAAUUAACUCUUCGUCCCGAGCCACCUUUAUGGCAUAUGGUCAAUCAUCGAAUGCCGCGUCUCCUCUCUCUCUCUCUCUUUUAUUCUAUACUGUAGAGGAGUUCAUCGAUGGCUAGCGAGCUUCCACGCACCCACCACCACCACCACCAACCUUACAAGAAUGGAAGCUAAGGAUAGAUAGAAGAAAUAAACAACGUUUCAUUUAUUUAACUUCAUCUUCCUAAAUGAAGUGCUAUGUUAAAGAACAACACAUCAUCACAAGGUUAAACUAUAAAAGAGAAUAAAGUCAGGCAGCUCACCUGUCCUCGUUGCUCGGGUACAAGAAAACCAAGUCGUUCUAUCCUGCGCAUCGAAGGGAAGAAAAAACCAUGAAAAUUAGAAGGAAAUGAUGGCCCUUUGGUUUUAGCCGGACCUCCCCCGGAGGAGGAGCUACUAAACGAUAUGGAAUCGGGCGGGACCGGUGUGGCCAUGGGAUCGAGUCAC